GACGAACGCUGGCGGCGUGCUUAACACAUGCAAGUCGAACGGAAAGGCCCUGCUUUUGUUGCGUGCUCGAGUGGCGAACGGGUGAGUAACACGUGAGUAACCUGCCCUUGACUUUGGGAUAAAUUCAGGAAACUCGGGCUCUUACCGGAUAGGAGCUCCUGCUGCAGGGGGGGGGUUGGAAAGUUUCGGCGGUGGGGGAUGGACUCGCGGCGUCUCAGUUGGUUGGUGGGGUGGUGGCUUACCAGGGCUUUGACGGGUGGCCGGCCUGGGAGGGUGACCGGCCACAUGGGGACUGAGGUAGGGCCCAGACUCCUACGGGAGGCAGCGGGGGGGAAUAUUGCACAAUGGGGGGAAGCCGGAUGCAGCAACGCCGGGUGCGGGAUGCCGGCCUUCGGGUUGUAAACCGCUUUCGCAGGUGACGAGGCGUGAGUGACGGUAAUGGGUAAAGAAGCACCGGCUAACUACGUG
rnacentral:rRNA from 1 species